UACUGGGCGUAAAGCGAGCGUAGGUGGCUUGAUAAGUCAGAUGUGAAAUCCCCGGGCUUAACCUGGGAACUGCAUCUGAUACUGUCAGGCUAGAGUAGGUGAGAGGAAGGUAGAAUUCCAGGUGUAGCGGUGAAAUGCGUAGAGAUCUGGAGGAAUACCGAUGGCGAAGGCAGCCUUCUGGCAUCAUACUGACACUGAGGCUCGAAAGCGUGGGUAGCAAACAGGAUUAGAUACCCUGGUAGUCCACGCCGUAAACGAUGUCUACUAGUCGUUGGGUCCCUUGAGGACUUAGUGACGCAGCUAACGCAAUAAGUAGACCGCCUGGGGAGUACGGCCGCAAGGUUAAAACUCAAAUGAAUUGACGGGGGCCCGCACAAGCGGUGGAGCAUGUGGUUUAAUUCGAUGCAACGCGAAGAACCUUACCUGGUCUUGACAUAUCUAGAAUCCUGCAGAGAUGCGGGAGUGCCUUCGGGAAUUAGAAUACAGGUGCUGCAUGGCUGUCGUCAGCUCGUGUCGUGAGAUGUUGGGUUAAGUCCCGCAACGAGCGCAACCCUUGUCCUUAGUUACCAGCGGGUUAAGCCGGGAACUCUAAGGAUACUGCCAGUGACAAACUGGAGGAAGGCGGGGACGACGUCAAGUCAUCAUGGCCCUUACGACCAGGGCUACACACGUGCUACAAUGGUAGGUACAGAGGGCAGCUACACAGCGAUGUGAUGCGAAUCUCAAAAAGCCUAUCGUAGUCCAGAUUGGAGUCUGCAACUCGACUCCAUGAAGUAGGAAUCGCUAGUAAUCGCGGAUCAGAAU
rnacentral:rRNA from 2 species